rnacentral:rRNA from 1 species
AACGAACGCUGGCGGCAGGCUUAACACAUGCAAGUCGAGCGCCCCGCAAGGGGAGCGGCAGACGGGUGAGUAACGCGUGGGAAUCUACCCAUCUCUACGGAAUAACGCAUGGAAACGUGUGCUAAUACCGUAUACGUCCUUCGGGAGAAAGAUUUAUCGGAGAUGGAUGAGCCCGCGUUGGAUUAGCUAGUUGGUGGGGUAAAGGCCUACCAAGGCGACGACCCAUAGCUGGUGUGAGAGGAUGAUCAGCCACACUGGGACUGAGACACGGCCCAGACUCCUACGGGAGGCAGCGGUGGGGAAUAUUGGACAAUGGGCGCAAGCUUGAUCCAGCCAUGCCACGUGAGUGAUGAAGGCCCUAGGGUUGUAAAGCUCUUUCACCGGUGAAGAUAAUGACGGUAACCGGAGAAGAAGCCCCGGCUAACUUCGUGCCAGCCGCCGCCGUAACAC